UAAUUUAAUAACUGAUAUCAUUGUUCCAUAAAGUGUCUGAAACUUUUCCGAUUAACCGCAGUUCACAAAUGGUCUGAAAAAUCACAAACGUAAUCGAUUUUCAGAAUCUUUGUGGAAUUUUCUCUAAAAAUAGACUAUUGCGCCUGUAUUGUUCCUGUUCUAUCACAUAUUUUGUUUUUCGAUACUUUUGGCCACUUGGCAUUGACACUCUUGACCAAACGAGUCCAGACUCGGGAAUUAAGUUUUCUUUAUAGGCGGACGAAGUGUGAAAAUGUCAGAUGAACUUUACCACGAUGUAGCGGGAGAAGAAUUUUUUUAUUUGUUUCUGUACGGAUGUAUAAGGCUACCCUCCAAACAGAUCUCCCCAAAUGUAGCUAGAGAAAUAAAAUUGUGUAUAUGCGUGGUAUAAUUAUCGACGUUUGGUAGUUUCCACUUUCAACCCCCAUAUUUUGUUUUUGCAAACAGUGUCGUUUUGACGGACUGGGCGUCAGAUUUUUAAAAGGCUUGCGAGAUAAUAAU